rnacentral:rRNA from 1 species
AGCAGCCGCGGUAAUUCCAGCUCCAAUAGCGUAUAUUAAAGUUGUUGCAGUUAAAAAGCUCGUAGUUGAAUUUCGGGAUCAAUAUGUCGGUCGUGCCUUCGGUACGUACUGGUAUCAUUGGUCUCUCCUUUCUGACGAACCAUGAUGUCAUUAAUUUGGUGUUACGGGGAGUUAGGACUGUUACUUUGAAAAAAUUAGAGUGUUUAAAGCAGGCUUUAGCUUGAAUACAUUAGCAUGGAAUAAUGAAAUAGGACGUUCGAACCUAUUUUGUUGGUUUCUAGGAUCAACGUAAUGAUUAAUAGGGAUAGUUGGGGGCAUUAGUAUUCAAUUGUCAGAGGUGAAAUUCUUGGAUUUAUUGAAGACUAACUACUGCGAAAGCAUUUGCCAAGGAUGUUUUCAUUAAUCAAGAACGAAAGUUAGGGGAUCGAAGACGAUCAGAUACCGUCGUAG